GUUCUAUAUUCGCGUCGGCCCCAGUGUGUAAGGACCUUUAAAUUGUAACUAAUCUAAUCUAAUUUAAUCUUUAAAAAAUUGUAUCAACCUUUUUCUCCAGACUUUGACUUUUUUCAGUCGUUGAUUUUUUUGUAUCUUUUUUUGUAUCUUGUCAUUUUUUCGUAUGAAUGAUCACUGUGUAACGUGCGUCCUUUACAGCUAUGGGAGUGAUUUAUCAGAAUUACACCUUUCAGAUAAAAAAAGCAGGCAAAAGAACAAAGAGGUCAAAGCAACGGACAUCACAAGGUAGAGGAAGUUGGCCUUGACUUUGAUGCAGAGUUAGUCUGGGAUAACAAGGACGGGACACUGCUGCUGAAUUUCUCCAUCUCUCCUUCUCUGCCUCCCUUUUUCUGUCAUUUGGCGCCCAGGGUGAAAUUAUGAUAAUAAGAGAAAGGAAAAGCUAUUACUGUGGCUGCUCUCUCAUUAUGUAAAUGAUAUUAAACAGGCCCUCUGUGUGUGCUGUGUGUGUGUUUCUGGUGUGUACACAAAUUUGAGCAGCCAGGUGCAAGUACAUGUCUAAAUGUUUGUGCGCAAUUUUCUGUUUGUACCUCUGUGUCUAUGAUUAUUUGUUGAGUAGUGGGGAAACCUAAAGUGACUUUCUCCAUUUGCGUUUGAGUGUGAGCAUGCAUAUGGGUUUGUGUGUGAGUCCUGAGGCUAUGGUUCUAAUCUUCACCAAGUGAUUACAAGAUGUCAAACUCCCCCACAUUGAUUAUUACAUGUUAAUUACACCCCAUGUUUCUACCUGCUCAGAUGACACAUUGCACACAUUGAAAAGUGUACUAUGAGAUUUUGUGUAUUCACGCACCAUUUUAACAUAUGCAUUAGAUCAGUGCGCAUUUUUCUAAGAGACUGCACAGGGACUGGUAUGUGUAGUAUGUGCGGAUCAAAAUGUUUAGAAAAUCUGCAAUGAGCAGUCACCGGGACAUCAGUAAUAGCUGUGGUGGAGGAAUCAAUGUAACUGUGUGUUUGCCUGCAGGCAACUGGCAAUCUCUGACACAUUAGCAGUGACAGCUGCAUUUUUUGACGUUGGUUAAAAGUCUGAGAGGGAAAACAAAAAGAUGUUUCAUGACAUUUGGCAGGGCUAUACAGAUGCCCUGAAUCAGAACUCUUCUCUUUGGAUUAAAAAAAAGAGACAUGUUGUUUUGCACAGCCCCUUUAAAAGUCACACUACUGUUUUUGAUCAGCUUCACUGAUUGUUACCAAAAUCCGAAUUGCUGAUAUGAAUAUUCCUAUUAUUUAUAUCAAGAGGCUACCCCGGCUGUCAUAGAGACAGGGUACCCCCUCAACAGGUCUUUAGUCUAUCAUAGGGCUGGCGAGAGAAACAUAUCUAUACACACUCACACUCACGUCGACAGGCGAUAAAUUAACCUAACAAGCAUGUCUCUGGACUGUGGGUGGAGGCAGAGGGGAGAGCACGCGAUCUCCACACAGAAAGGCCACAGCCCGGAUCUGAUGAAGGGUAACAGUUGAACCAAAAUACUUAAUUUAUAUUACUUUACAUUUUACUGGUGUUAUUUUUGAUACGGAUCAGCUGGUGUUUUCCAGGUUCUGGGGAUUACUUGGUUUUCUCCUUGCUGUCUGCACAUGAGGAACAGGAGAGUAAAAUAAAUGAACAAAUGAACAAACAUACAUGUUGUCAAUAUACUGUAAGGACUUAAAUGUUCUUUUCAAACCAAAUCAAUAAGUGUAAGGGGUAAAGUGCAUCUUAUUCUUUUUUGACACCAUGGUUUCUUUAAAAUCAUAUUUUUUUUCCUCCUUCUCAGGUAGAAAUCUGUUGUCUUUUUGUUUUAUCCAAAAGUAUUGCUUUCAUCUCACUCCUGCAAUAAAAGGAUCCGUUUCACAUUGGGGCUUUAUAACUAUUAUAAAGAUGAUUGAGUCGACACCAUUAUUACAUAUGCUAGUUAUAGGCAGUACGCUAUAAAAAAGGUAGAAGCCUAUUGAUUAAAUUGUAAAAACAAAAUAAAGCAUGGGAAAAUUUAAAAAAAAUGUAGACAGCCACAAAUUAUUUGAUUAAAAAAGCAGCUCUUUUUAGUUGGUAAUUAAUAAAUGAAAAUAGUUAGAAACUUAAUUUAAAAAAAUGCACCAGAGUGACAUAAAAAAAGCAGAUAAUCAUGCUAAAACAGUUCUUAAGGGUGUUUUUUAUGUAUGUAUUUGAUUACACUAUUGAGCCAUUACUGCAGUCACUAUAGCAGAAUUGAAAGAGUGAUUUCUUUCGCUGGUUUUCACAUUAAUAAAGUUGCCUUAAUUGCUUAUGAUUAAAAGAUCUAUUUAAAAAAUGAAUGACAAUAUUUUUCAAAUGAUGUUUUCUCAGAACAAUUGACAUUCUGCAAAACCACUUUAUGCCUGUGUGUGUGUGUGUGUGUGUGUGUGUGUGUGUGUGUGUGUGUGUGUGUGUGUGUGUGUGUGUGUGUGUGUGCUUGUUAUGUGGCCUGUCCUGCUCUACUCCAUUGCUUGUUUAUAUGCUUCAUACCACUGGUCCUGGGGGGUUUAUAAAUAUUGAUCGUUACAAAGGAUGGAUAGUUGCUUGAUAGUCUACCCAGGCCCUGGGAAUACACAUAUAUACACAUAAAAUACAGUCAUGUGUGCACUCACUCUAUCACACACACACACACACACACACUUACAAAUAUACUUCCAAGUUGUCUUGGCAUUAUUUGUUUAUUUUGUGAUUCUUAUUUUAGAAAAUAGGAAUUACAUUAAAUAAAGUAAUUCCAUAAAAGUGUGGCAGGGGGUCUUAUCCUGAUUCUGGACCCUUUUAAAGGCUUGGAUGUACAUUUUUCAACAGACUUGAUACCUUUUCCUCCUCAACCCGAACAGUGAAUGGUUUAAGCUGCAGUUAUGGUUUGUUUGUUUGUUACACUGUUAAAAAAACAACGACAAUCUAUUCACAAGAGUUUGUGUAUUCUUAAUUGGGUGAACAUGAAAAUUUAAAUAGCUAUUAUUUAACACAAAAAUACAUGUCAGACCAACAAUAUUCACCUCAGUAGAGACCAAAUAUGUAACUCUAAAUUAGCAGAAUUUGCAAUUUGUUGUUUGCACAUAAAGCGGUUCUGACAUUGACCCAUGAGGUCUGCCGAAGAGGACCUACGGGGUUUACCACGUUCUGUCGCAAGGGCAAGUUCUCCCUCAUUGUGUGUCCCGGCCAGCAGCGCAGAGGGAGAAGAGGACUUUUUUGAGUGGACCAGCUUCAGUCCAAGUUGUUUAAGUAUUUUGUGUGAAAAUAAACUUGCCUGAACUGUAUUAAGUGUACUAACUAAUAGAGAAUGUGUUGUUGUUCUGCUUUACCAGAUUUACUUAAGUAAAUUGGCUACUUUUUCAGUUAAGUUAACAAUGCUUGUCUAUCUACGUUGCUUGUCUGCCAGAAAAUUAUCUUUCCGUUCCCUUGCGACGUGUUUCCUUGCUGCGUUUUUAAUCGCACAUGUAACUGAGCAGGCAAUUUUAUCUCUGGGGUACAUUCACGAUGCACGCCGCCUCCAUGCUCACUUGCUGCGGAGAAAGCCAUUAACUUUAGCCAUUAGCAAGCGUCUGCUAGCUGAUGGCUAGGGCUGCUAAAUGUUUAUAUUGGCAAAACGAAGAAUAAAUAGUAGUGAAAAAAACAACAACAACUGAGCAAAUAAAAGUGUUUAUAUUGGCAAGACGAAGACUAAAUAGUAGUGACCAUUCACCGAACAGCGGAAUAGUGAUACAACGAUGAAAUGUCACUUACGACAAUGACCUAGCAAAUCGUUGACACAAUUAAAAAAUCUUACUGCAAAAGGUUGCCUUAAAAUUUUAAGUCUUUUCAAUUAUUUUUUUUUUUACAGUGUAGUUUCAUAAUUCAUGAAUAAAUCAUUCUUUUUCUCUUAUUCUCUUAAAUAUUAAAAAGUGAAAUGGGUUAAAAAUGAUUUGGGUGUGCUGAGGAAGAACUAACACACAUUACAUUUUUUUUUAAUUGUCAAAAAUUACAAAUCGUAACAUCCAACAUACCUGGAAGUCUUCACUGUUGGAGGGACAUUAAGUAUGUGACAGAGACUUCUCUAUAUGUAAUUUUAUACGAUCCAUUAUUGUCAGGAUGUGGAUACUGCUGCGAAUGUUCAAAGCCUC